UAACACUUUUCCAAUGGACACCACAGUGAGUCAAGGCUCUGAGAGAAACCUUAAGGCCAUUUGUAUUGUGUGGAACCAGGGUUGCCCUCUGAGUUCUGUCUGACUGGCAGGGGUCACGGAGAGACAGGCCUCAUUCUGCCGUUGUGGAUUUGGAUGAACUUUCUCUGAGGUGCACAAUUGAGAGCAUCUUGUCGGGCUGUAUCACCGCCUGGUAUGGCAACUGCAGAGCCCACAACCGCAGGGCUCUCCAGAGGGUAGUGAGGUCUGCACAACGCAUCACCGGGGGAAAACUGCCUGCCCUCCAGGACACCUACACCACCCGAUGUUACAGGAAGGCCAUAAAGAUCAUCAAGGACCUCGGCCACCCGAGCCGCUAGCUGUUCACCCCACUAUCCUCCAGAAGGUGAUGUCAGCACAGGUGCAUCAAAGCUGGGACCGAGAGACUGAAAAACAGCUUCUAUCUCAAGGCCAUCAGACAGUGUCUCCUGACCCCUCCUGUCUCAGCCUCCAGUAUUUAUGCUGCAGUAGUUUAUGUGUUGGGGGUCUAGGUUUCAACUCCCCUCCCAGAGGACCUGAGCCCGAGGACCAUGCCUCAGGACUACCUGGCCUGAUGACUCCAUGCUGUCCCCAGUCCACCUGGCCCUAGGACCAUGCCUCAGGACUACCUGGCCUGAUGACUCCAUGCUGUCCCCAGUCCACCUGGCCCUAGGACCAUGCCUCAGGACUACCUGGCCUGAUGACUCCAUGCUGUCCCCAGUCCACCUGGCCCUAGGACCAUGCCUCAGGACUACCUGGCCUGAUGACUCCAUGCUGUCCCCAGUCCACCUGGCCCUAGGACCAUGCCUCAGGACUACCUGGCCUGAUGACUCCAUGCUGUCCCCAGUCCACCUGGCCCUAGGACCAUGCCUCAGGACUACCUGGCCUGAUGACUCCAUGCUGUCCCCAGUCCACCUGGCCCUGGGACCAUGCCUCAGGACUACCUGGCCUGAUGACUCCAUGCUGUCCCCAGUCCACCUGGCCCUAGGACCAUGCCUCAGGACUACCUGGCCCGAUGACUCCAUGCUGUCCCCAGUCCACCUGGCCCUGGGACCAUGCCUCAGGACUACCUGGCCUGAUGACUCCAUGCUGUCCCCAGUCCACCUGGCCGUGCUGC